UGGGGAAUAUUGGACAAUGGGGGCAACCCUGAUCCAGCAAUGCCGCGUGAGUGAUGAAGGCCUUAGGGUUGUAAAGCUCUUUCGGCGGGGACGAUGAUGACGGUACCCGCAGAAGAAGCCCCGGCUAACUUCGUGCCAGCAGCCGCGGUAAUACGAAGGGGGCGAGCGUUGUUCGGAUUUACUGGGCGUAAAGGGCGCGCAGGCGGCUUUGGAAGUCAGAUGUGAAAGCCCCGGGCUUAACCUGGGAAUUGCAUUUGAUACUCUGGAGCUAGAGUGUGGGAGAGGAUAGUGGAAUUCCCAGUGUAGAGGUGAAAUUCGUAGAUAUUGGGAAGAACACCGGUGGCGAAGGCGGCUAUCUGGACCACAACUGACGCUGAGGCGCGAAAGCGUGGGGAGCAAACAGGAUUAGAUACCCCCGUAGUCC
rnacentral:rRNA from 1 species